UUAACUUGUCACAGAUUUAAUUUCUUACAGACUUGUAAUGCCAUACAUUCUGAAGCACAAAGCUUUUUUAUUUUUCUUUUUUGUUAACAUUUGAAGGGGUCAAUAAGUAGUCCUGGAUAAGUUGUCUAGGCUUUUACAAUGCAAUUAAAUACAAACUAAUGUCUCUGUUUAGGUGGUGCAACAGGAAAAAGAAAAAAAGACUGAAAGAAUAAUAUACCUUUUAGGAAUGGUUAGCAUGGAAUUCCCAACUACUCAUAACUUAAAAGUCAAGUUAAAAUGAUCUAUUAAUGAAAAAUGUUCUUUUAUGAAUCAUGAUGUAUUUAAAUUCUAGGUUUUUAUAUUUAAAUUUCUGUAUUUGUCCUCCCACUAUUUUAAAAUACCUGCACGACUUCCCUCAGGUUACUUAAUUAAUCUUUGAACAGAAGAACAGCAUAGAAAAUCUUGGCCUAAGAGGUAUAUAUAGUUGGAGAAAUAACAGGAUAAGCAUGAGCAGUUUUCUUGAAGUUUGUAGUUACAAAUGUUGACUACAAUGAAAGAAAAUUAGUGUGCACAGCAUUGUUAAUUUGUGUUCAUUUAUAGUUUUGAGUUACUAUUGAUCAUUUUGCAGGUUUGCAACUUUCUCUACUGUAUUCCCGGUAAAGAUUGCAUUCCAGUGCAAGUACCCAUAUAAAGGAUGAUGUAGUGACUCUCCUGAAGACCCUACAAUCUGCAUACUUCUGCUUUUGCUAGUAUGAUUUCCAUGGAGGUUCAGUUCAUUAAAGUGACCUGUCAUCCAUGAUAUUUCUGUUAUAUGAAACAUAUUACAGGUAGUUGUCAUAGACAAUGCUCUUUUAAAUCACUGUAAGAAGCAGUUAAACUUUCUGGAGAAAGAACAGCCGCCACGAGAACACGGGUACAUGUCACCACCCAAAACAAAGACACAUGUGGGUGGCACAUGUUUUGUUGGACAUAUGUGUGAGAAAAAACAUGUAAAAUGCCACAGAAACAGAUGCAGAGAAGACACGGAAGCCUAUACACAGGCCUGAGCAAACACUGGGAAUGAAGCUCUAAGAGCUUCAUUCAUAGAGAAUGAAGCUCUAAGAAAAAUGGAGCAAGAGAGACUUAAGGUAACUACCAACCGAAAAGGACUCAAGACUUUGAGUGAAAUUUUCCUAUGGUUUCAGAGGAAAAGAACAUACACACAAUCUUUAUAAGUAGAAUGCAUUAAAACAUCUGAUGCCAUUGUACAUUUUUUAAUAACUAGACAAUCCACUAGUUAUUCAAGUCAAAGAAGGUAAGAAUACAUUUCCAAGUUUAAAGACAGUGCCUUCUAAUAGAUCCAUAAAUUAAAAUAACCUGGCAGCAUUCAAAAUAUAAACUUUCCUGACAGGAAAACAUAUACACAUUAUAAAGUAUUUUUUAUAGCCUAGUCAAAUAGACUAGUCAAAUGCUCAUAGAGGCAAAAGAGAAUGUGCUAUGUCU
rnacentral:lncRNA from 1 species